GGACGGGUGAGUAAUGUCUGGGGAUCUGCCCGAUAGAGGGGGAUAACCACUGGAAACGGUGGCUAAUACCGCAUAACGUCGCAAGACCAAAGAGGGGGACCUUCGGGCCUCUCACUAUCGGAUGAACCCAGAUGGGAUUAGCUAGUAGGCGGGGUAAUGGCCCACCUAGGCGACGAUCCCUAGCUGGUCUGAGAGGAUGACCAGCCACACUGGAACUGAGACACGGUCCAGACUCCUACGGGAGGCAGCASWGGGGAAUAUUGCACAAUGGGCGCAAGCCUGAUGCAGCCAUGCCGCGUGUAUGAAGAAGRCCUUCGGGUUGUAAAGUACUUUCAGCGGGGAGGAAGGCGABRSGGUUAAUAACCCCGUCGAUUGACGUUACCCGCAGAAGAAGCACCGGCUAACUCCGUGCCAGCASCCGCGGUAAUACGGAGGGUGCAAGCGUUAAUCGGAAUUACUGGGCGUAAAGCGCACGCAGGCGGUCUGUUAAGUCAGAUGUGAAAUCCCCGGGCUUAACCUGGGAACUGCAUUUGAAACUGGCAGGCUUGAGUCUUGUAGAGGGGGGUAGAAUUCCAGGUGUAGCGGUGAAAUGCGUAGAGAUCUGGAGGAAUACCGGUGGCGAAGGCGCCCCCUGGACAAAGACUGACGCUCAGGUGCGAAAGCGUGGGGAGCAAACAGGAUUAGAUACCCUGGUAGUCCACGCCGUAAACGAUGUCGACUUGGAGGUUGUUCCCUUGAGGAGUGGCUUCCGGAGCUAACGCGUUAAGUCGACCGCCUGGGGAGUACGGCCGCAAGGUUAAAACUCAAAUGAAUUGACGGGGGCCCGCACAAGCGGUGGAGCAUGUGGUUUAAUUCGAUGCAACGCGAAGAACCUUACCUACUCUUGACAUCCACGGAAUUUGGCAGAGAUGCCUUAGUGCCUUCGGGAACCGUGAGACAGGUGCUGCAUGGCUGUCGUCAGCUCGUGUUGUGAAAUGUUGGGUUAAGUCCCGCAACGAGCGCAACCCUUAUCCUUUGUUGCCAGCGAUUCGGUCGGGAACUCAAAGGAGACUGCCGGUGAUAAACCGGAGGAAGGUGGGGAUGACGUCAAGUCAUCAUGGCCCUUACGAGUAGGGCUACACACGUGCUACAAUGGCGCAUACAAAGAGAAGCGACCUCGCGAGAGCAAGCGGACCUCACAAAGUGCGUCGUAGUCCGGAUCGGAGUCUGCAACUCGACUCCGUGAAGUCGGAAUCGCUAGUAAUCGUGGAUCAGAAUGCCACGGUGAAUACGUUCCCGGGCCUUGUACACACCGCCCGUCRCRCCAUGGGAGUGGGUUGCAAAAGAAGUAGGUAGCUUAACCUUCGGGAGGGCGCUUAC
rnacentral:rRNA from 1 species